GUGCUGCUGAACAGUCCCAUAACUAGAACGAAACAGCUGUCCAGUAC
rnacentral:hammerhead_ribozyme from 1 species